CUCUACUGGGCAAGUGACUUCCAGCUUGCAGCCCAGCUGAGUCCGGACCAGGGAGCAGCCCAGGACAGACAAGACAAGAGAGAGGAAUCUGGAUUACAACAUAAGUGCCAAGCUUGAUACCCAAUGUGCUUAUGAAAAGCAAAAGGAAGUGGAAUGCCUCAACUUAAACCAAGGCAGCGCAUUGAAAACCCCCACUUAAAGUGCAGCUGCGAUCAGAAGAAGA